rnacentral:rRNA from 1 species
CAAUAGCGUAUAUUAAAGUUGUUGCAGUUAAAAAGCUUGUAGUUGGAUUUCUGGCGUACGGUGUGUUCCGGGCACUUGUUGUCUGAGUAACCUGCUGUUGCCAUCCUUGGGUGGAACCUGUGUGGCAUUAGGUUGUCGUGCAGGGGAUGCCCAUCAUUUACUGUGAAAAAAUUAGAGUGUUCAAAGCAGGCUUAUGCCGUUGAAUAUAUUAGCAUGGAGUAAUGAGAUAGGACUUUUUUGCUAUUUUGUUGGUUUGCGCAAAGAGGUAAUGAUUAAUAGGGACAGUUGGGGGUAUUCGUAUUCCAUUGUCAGAGGUGAAAUUCUUGGAUUUUUGGAAGACGAACUACUGCGAAAGCAUUUACCAAGGAUGUUUUCAUUAA